CAGCUUGAAGAUUGUAUAAAAAAUCCCUGCAAUAAAUAAGAAGUACAUCUGAAUAGUUCAGUUCUGUGACAUUCCCAGUAUUUCAGUUCCUUCAGAAAAAAGCUGCUGAACAAAGGUGUCGAUUAUUUAUCUGAAGUCCACAGUCGAAAAUACAGACUUGGGGUAACUUGAAACGUAUCCCAUUUCUCCUUUCCAACUGAAACAGGUCAAAUUUAGUCAUUGAUAUUCAGUAAGAAAACCCGGAUAUGUCCCACAACUACCACAUGGAGGAUGUACUAUCUUGUUUACAUUUGCUAAUCUGAGGACAAGGAGGCGGAUGUCCCUUUAAUGUUUGAGCAAAGGAUUUGACUACCAUUUAUUCGAAUCAGUUGAAACUGUUACUGCCUGCAGAAUAUUCCGAUCAGUACUGUCUGCAUGUCAUGGGAAGGGUUUGGUUUAUCUUCAUUUGAGCUCCGUCUUUUACACGAUGAGGAGGAAUACAAGGCUCACAACGUUUCAGAUAAGCAGUGAAAUAAUUCUAUUAUACG